UAUUAUUAUUAUUAUUUCGGUUGUUUACCGGAGUAUCCUCUACAGUCGACCGGUAGGCAGGACUACAAAGCUUGUUAUUCCUCCAAGAAUGAUCGGACGAUAUGUGUGGCAUCCAAUAUGACGGACUUCUGCAUCAGUUUAAACCAAGCAUGUGGAUGACAUGAUGACGAUACGAUUUUUACUUCAUCGAGGCUCCACAUCUCCAGGAUUUCCCUUUUAAGGAUUCAUUGAACCAGUUCAGGGAUUCCAACUAGGACCUUCAACGGUCGAACUCUAGUACCCUCACCAUCAGAAUUUUGGGUUCCUAACCGAAACACCGGAACAUUUGGAUAUUUGCUCGUUUUAUGAUGUACAAAACAGAUCAUUUAAGAAAUUUCAGCAUUAAGAAUCGAUUUAAACCUAUGCAAAACUAAUUAGAGCAGCAGCACUCGCAUCCGCACGCGCCGCGAGUUAAAAACAUAUCUCAGUAUUGCCAUUCUGAAGCCAAUGUCUUUUAAUAUUAUUCAAUCCAGCUUCGAGGGAUGUUUGGUCACUGCAUAUUGUCGUUGCUCGUUUGCAUAACAUUUUAACUAAUUAACUACGUUCCGGAACGGUAAGACUCGGAUACUCUACGUGUAUUUUUUUCACAUGUGGUGGUGGAUUGAAUUAAGGUAAUUGACAAUUAAAUCCAGUUUUAGAUCGGUUCCAAUCCAG